UACGGGAGGCAGCAGUGGGGAAUAUUGCACAAUGGGCGCAAGCCUGAUGCAGCCAUGCCGCGUGUAUGAAGAAGGCCUUCGGGUUGUAAAGUACUUUCAGUCGUGAGGAAGGUGUUAAGGUUAAUAACCUUAGCAAUUGACGUUAGCGACAGAAGAAGCACCGGCUAACUCCGUGCCAGCAGCCGCGGUAAUACGGAGGGUGCGAGCGUUAAUCGGAAUUACUGGGCGUAAAGGGCACGCAGGCGGUUAAUUAAGUUGGAUGUGAAAUCCCCGGGCUUAACCUGGGAAUGGCAUUCAAGACUGGUUAGCUAGAGUCUUGUAGAGGGGGUAGAAUUCCAUGUGUAGCGGUGAAAUGCGUAGAGAUGUGGAGGAAUACCGGUGGCGAAGGCGGCCCCUGGACAAAGACUGACGCUCAUGUGCGAAAGCGUGGGGAGCGAA
rnacentral:rRNA from 1 species